ensembl:lncRNA
UUUUUUUUUUUUUUUUUUUUUCCUUGCUUUUGGAAAUGAACCAACUCCCAAAGGUGACAUUGUACGGUUUAACUCAGUCCUGGCACACCGGUGACCCAUCUCCCUGUCUGAGCCACACAUUGAUAGUAGUGCAAUGCACCAACUCAGUUUGCUGUGGCAUUUGAAAAGAGUCUGUGCUGUGCAUGUUGAUGGUUUGGCGUUAAUGUUGAUUCUAGAUGGUCCUUCUGCCAGAUAAAAGACUGUACAGUUCCAAAUAAGUUUCUCAGAGAUAAAAUUUCACUUAUAUAUUUUAUUUUUCAAGUUUACCUUGAGAGAAUGUAUUUUCUGUAAAGUUAUGACAUUAAGCACUAAUUCUUAUUCCAGUGUUCAUGAUUGACCAAUCUCUAUAUAAAGCUUUAAAAUCAAUUUUGUCCAGAACUAAUGUCUAUGUUCAAGGUUUAUAAUUAUUCAUGUCACUUAGCCUCUCUAAAUCCUGGUAUGCUAGAGAAUUUAUUUGCCUCUUCAGGAACUUUUUUCAUCAUUUAAAAAUACCAAACAAUGCUUCGGGCACUUUCUUGGCUAAUUCUGACAGAAAUUUUCUCUAUCUGCUGAUUUUUAAAAGUGGAAACUUAAUAUAAGCUGUGUUACUAUUGAAAAAUGUACCACUCCAUCAAAUCUCACCUGUCAUUAGGUCCUGAGCUCGUGUGAAACAGACCGAGGGUAAAGCACUUCAGUAUAGCUAUGGAUAUUUCUAAUAGAUUCCCUCAGUACUAGACAAAUACAAUUUUUAGUAUUUCUCUUUUUCCUGAACAUUCAUACAUCACUGUUAUCCUCCUCCUAGCCCUAAACUAUGGAGGGGAUCCCUCAUGUAUCUGAUUCCCCAGCCCAGCUCCGCACUGCUCCGUUCCACCCCACUGGUCUCUCUCUCUGAUCACAACUUUCACGCUGGGGGCUGGAUUUGCCACAGCCGCUGCCCAACACCUGCUCACUUGCUUACAGCCAAGCCUUUCUGUGGAUGCUGGGUUCAGGGGUUCAGCUGCACCAUGGGCUCUGCUUUGGCCCCUCUCCUCCCUCACCCCAUUUUGUAUUUCCCUCUUUUGCUCGCCCGUGUGCCCCUUGCUCUCCUGUUUGUUUUACACUUUUCGUCAGCUCCUACUCAUUUCCUUAUGCACAGUUUUGCCUCAGUACUUUAAUUUUGUGGGUGGAUUGAAGUACAGGGGAUUCAGACCAUAGACCAUUCCAUGCCUACAUUAAUACGGCCAAAGCAUUAUAAUAUUCCAGUUCAUGAGUAUUAACUGUACACCUUCUGUGAAGGCACCUUCAUUUUCCCUAAAAAAUGUUUUUCACACAGUCAGUUCCUCUAACCCACAAAAUAAAAAGGAGAGCCACCAGACAGCAGAUAAGAUAGCAUCAAAUUCUCAAAAUUAUUUUAUCACCGUGCACUACAGAGUAUUUAAGCCUCUGUGGUAACAGCCAUCGAUAGCCUGAUCUGAGCCAACCCAUCUCACCAUCACCUUGCAACAUCUCCCAGUAACUGAUAAGUUAUCAUCCCUCCAUAGAAAAUGAGAAAAAGCACAGAAACAGGAAGUGCCUCCCACUAAGUAUUGUUCUAAAAUGUUUCACAAAUGUGAUGAUCCCUAAGGAACUGCUACCUCUUCUUCCAUUUUCUUCAAUAAUUUCAGCAGUUAUCCAGCACUUCAAGACAAUUUGACAUCUUAUUUACGGCAUGAGGCCUUUAUGUCCUGCAGAAAAACUACAGACACAAAGGAGGAUUUGUCUGAGAAAUACACAGGUAAUAAGAAGGGUAAUUAAAAAACAACACCUCUCCUAGAUAUGCUAAAAAUCAGUAUCUUAACAAAAUAGAAAUAGCUCCUCCAUAGACUUACAAACAAAAGGUUGCUGAUAUUACUAGCAGCUAAUUAAUUCCAUGAGUCCUGCACUUGUGAAGCACAUAACCCUAACAUUAACCUCAGCAAAAAGGAAUCUUCUUUUAGUUUCUAGAUAAUCAUAAGUUAUAGAUUCAUAGAUAGCUCUUGGUCUGAGAUUAAAAAAAUAAUUUUUUUUGUAUUGCUAAACUCAUUGGGGACCCUAAACUGAACUUUUGUCACCUUUCUGAUGUGAAACUGCUGUAUAUUCAACUGUUUUAUCAAAGAGCUGUUUCAAAUUAUUUUGUAAUAUAAAUAUUUGAAAGACACAAUAUUACUUAAUUGUAUGUAAGAGUUUGAGAUUUUAAAUAGCUUGUUAUAAUAAAGAUUUUA